GGUAUGAAUAUGGCUUGGAAGGUGUGAAUGAAAACUGCUUGGGCCUUAAACAAGCCCAGAUCUUAGUCCACACCGCAACAAGCCAAAACAAUUAACAAACAGCAUAUGAACUCAAUUCAUCUUCAUUUCGAUUCCACGCAUUCUCUCCAUCUCAUCUCAAAAUUCAAACGAAAAAUCUUGAAGAAAACAACUUUGAAUUUAUGCUCUUACACCAACAUCGAAUUCAUCACACCAAAUCGAAAUCUCCGCCAAAAUCGAAUCCUCCAAACACUCGUUCUUGCACGCGGAUUAAGGAAACCAGAAGAAGAAGAACAACCUACCGGAUUGGAGCUCCAGCGCAGUGGCUCUUCGGCGACAACAUGUUUUGGUAUGGCAAAUGGAUUUAAUCAAGGAUACCAAGGCUUGAAGAUCAAGAUAAUGUGGACUUAGGAAAAGGUCGUUGACUUUGGUCAAUAAUUGACCAAAGUCAACUGCAGGAUUUAGACUAGGGUUUUUCUUGUUUUUAUUUGUAUGGACUUGAUGAAAAUGUACCUAUGAUGACUUGUUAAUGUAAAAGAUCUUGAAUGAAAUAAAGCUUGGUUUCUCUAAAA